rnacentral:rRNA from 1 species
CUGAUUGAGAUUUUAACACGAAGUGAGUGGCGAACGGGUGAGUAACACGUGGGUAACCUGCCCAGAAGUAGGGGAUAACACCUGGAAACAGAUGCUAAUACCGUAUAACAGAGAAAACCGCAUGGUUUUCUUUUAAAAGAUGGCUCUGCUAUCACUUCUGGAUGGACCCGCGGCGUAUUAGCUAGUUGGUGAGGUAAAGGCUCACCAAGGCAGUGAUACGUAGCCGACCUGAGAGGGUAAUCGGCCACAUUGGGACUGAGACACGGCCCAGACUCCUACGGGAGGCAGCAGUAGGGAAUCUUCCACAAUGGACGCAAGUCUGAUGGAGCAACGCCGCGUGAGUGAAGAAGGGUUUCGGCUCGUAAAGCUCUGUUGUUAAAGAAGAACGUGGGUAAGAGUAACUGUUUACCCAGUGACGGUAUUUAACCAGAAAGCCACGGCUAACUACGUGCCAGCAGCCGCGGUAAUACGUAGGUGGCAAGCGUUAUCCGGAUUUAUUGGGCGUAAAGCGAGCGCAGGCGGUCUUUUAAGUCUAAUGUGAAAGCCUUCGGCUCAACCGAAGAAGUGCAUUGGAAACUGGGAGACUUGAGUGCAGAAGAGGACAGUGGAACUCCAUGUGUAGCGGUGAAAUGCGUAGAUAUAUGGAAGAACACCAGUGGCGAAGGCGGCUGUCUGGUCUGCAACUGACGCUGAGGCUCGAAAGCAUGGGUAGCGAACAGGAUUAGAUACCCUGGUAGUCCAUGCCGUAAACGAUGAUUACUAAGUGUUGGAGGGUUUCCGCCCUUCAGUGCUGCAGCUAACGCAUUAAGUAAUCCGCCUGGGGAGUACGACCGCAAGGUUGAAACUCAAAAGAAUUGACGGGGGCCCGCACAAGCGGUGGAGCAUGUGGUUUAAUUCGAAGCUACGCGAAGAACCUUACCAGGUCUUGACAUCUUCUGACAGUCUAAGAGAUUAGAGGUUCCCUUCGGGGACAGAAUGACAGGUGGUGCAUGGUUGUCGUCAGCUCGUGUCGUGAGAUGUUGGGUUAAGUCCCGCAACGAGCGCAACCCUUAUUACUAGUUGCCAGCAUUAAGUUGGGCACUCUAGUGAGACUGCCGGUGACAAACCGGAGGAAGGUGGGGACGACGUCAAAUCAUCAUGCCCCUUAUGACCUGGGCUACACACGUGCUACAAUGGAUGGUACAACGAG